AAAUCUGAUAAUGAUGAUAAAAAAGGGAGAAGAUGCAGUAGGUGGUGUACUCAGAGAGCAACGAGAAUUAAGAUCUACUGGAGCAAUAAAACCCUCUUAUAAAGCUUAACAUGGAUGAAAGGAAAUUGAUUACAAUUAACAUAAAUGGACU